UGCAAAUGAGGUAGGAUUACUAAUUUCAAUCAAGAAAAACUAUGCUAGAAGCACACCACAUUCCACAUGAAGCCAGCUGUUUGUUGGCAUUAGUUCUGAGAAGCCCUGAAAGUGCCUCAUACUCCCUCUGGUGCCCCAUGUCAGUACUGCCCUGUAAAAAAAGGAUAUCAAUCAGAAUAAUUUUACUUCAAAGAACACUGUGCAUGUCAGGCGGGCAUUAUUACAGGUUCAUGCACAGAAUGAAAAAGCUUCGCACCACCCUUUCUUCAACAGCACACAUGCUCAUUCUGGUUACGUAAUGAUAAGAGCCAUCCAGCAAACGAGUAGUCGUUUGGAUACUGCAUAGCAGCACCAUCCACUGAAUUCCAGCUCAUUGUGGAGAGGAGGAACCUGCUGCCUCAGCCUCUCUCCCUCACAGUGAGUCAUUAACUUAUUGCCUCGUGGAGAACUGAGGGGGAGGCAGCAGCAUAUGCUUCAACAAAUGUGCCUCCCUUUCCUACAGUGAUGAAGCAGGAGAAAAUAUGGAUAAUGAGACAGAUAGCGAGUGACAGAGAGGGGGGAGGAGCAUUCUCAGUGACACCUUAAAACAGGCAAAAUCAUAAUGACAAAUAAAUGAGAGACUUUCUCUUGGUGUCAGCGAUGACAAUGCCAUUUGUUUGUGUGCCUGGUGAGCGGAGCAGAGGGUCACUGGCACAAUUGGGAGCACCUGUGGCUACGGCUGCAGAGAUGUUAAGAGGCACCUGUUUCUGAUUUGAAGAGGGCUCUUUCCCCACAGAUAUCUUUUGGCUUCCGUUUUGGCAUUGACUGCUUUUGUUAGCUGUUUUUGGGUUUAAGCCAUGCAACAUUGGUUCACCAUAGUUUUCACACAUCUACCCGCCUACACUCCUGAUGGUACUGACUUAUACACCCCACACUUGUCUGUCUUUUUUGUUUUUGUAAAUUUAGGUUAGCUAAAAUAAAUUUGACCUUUCUUGUAAAGUA